rnacentral:lncRNA from 10 species
ACUUGGUCACAGUGAGUGAAGGAACAUGGCUCUGAAUCAUGCCUGUCUGUCUCCCCAGGUCUGUGCUUAAAACCACGAAGUUCAAGAUGGAAACUGAAGGGAAGAGUGUCAAGGGGAUGGGAGAGAGGACUUGUCCAUGACUUUGGCAGCAUAAGGAAAAAAUACCCAGGGACAAGUGGCGACUUUGGAAACUCCAUUCCUCUGCAAAAUGACAUCACGAGGAGAGUGGUGGGGCCUGCGGAUGAAAAGAUCUGGCUUCUCCUCCCAACUCUGCUAUGAGGAAGCGCUGGAUGGCCCUGUCGGCCGCGGUCAUCGCCGCCUCGGCCCGGGAGCUCAGCAUUGCAGCCGCACCGGAGGCCUGAAACCGUCUCCUCCGCUACCGCCGCCGCCGCCGCCGGACCGAGGGAUACGACGGUUCCCGAGACAGCGGAACCUGCGGCCGCAGUCCCAGCACCUCGGGGGAACGUAGACCGCAGGACAGCUCCCAGGGGGACCGGAAGUAGCUGCCCCCGGAGAGCAAUAGCUGACGGACCACGUCCUUUCUUUCUUUUCCCUUAGCAACAGGCCCCGGCGUCGGUUGCUACGCUGGGCUCAGUUGCCUGGGGCUGCUUGGUUUUCAGAUUUGCUUAGGCUCCAUUCAUAAAUACAGAUGGCACACUUCUAGGAUGGACCCUGGGUCAUGAUUUGAAUUUUUCGAUGUGGGGAAGGGAGGCCAACAGCCGAAAGUCGGGUCAGGCCUCUGCUAUAAUUAGUUAUUAUUGUGGCCAGAGUGGAAAUAGGUCGCAGAGGAAGGAACUUUAAUGAGCAUGAGGCCCAUCUCUGACGAUAUCAGUAGAGAAAUCAACGUCUUUAAUAGCCAACAAACUUAUUGUUUACUUGGGUGCCAGGUAUAGAGCUAAGUAUGUUACAUUCAUUAUUUACAUUUAAUAUUCACACCAACUCUAACAUUACCCACAUUUUACAUCCCAGGGAACCCAG